GCCAAGACGGCAGAACAGCAUGGAAGUUUUUUCUGUGUCUGGUGUCCCUGAGAUACCGCCAGACCAACAAUAAACCAUCCUGCACACCUAGAAAACUGAUCUGAGGAAUAACACAACAAUCUGCACAACUUGAACCACGGAAUCAGCAGUGUUCUUGUUCUGCCAGAGGUGUCUGGGCCCGCUGAAAACACAGCUGUGAGAAAUGAGGUUUUGAGGAACUUCGAUUCCCAGCGAACAUACUGGGCAUAGACUCAACAUACUUGGACCACUUCCAAAACACUACAGAUUGUCCCUGUCACUAAGUACAAGGUGCAAGUCACGUGCUGGAGACGCCCUGGGGGCGGUGACCGCUUCUCACCUUUGCUGGACUCUGGAUGUCUUACGUACCUUGUUUGUUCCCUUGACCCUGCUGGAAACUCGGAGAACAGUACCUUUGUUGAAAUGCUUGCAUUUUAACCACCUGGGAAGACACAAGAAGACAUUGUGAAAAAUCAAAAACAAUUCGCUUUUGUUUUUGUUUAGUUUAUAGAACUUCUUUGCUGUGGGUGAAAAGAUUGAUAAGGUGACCUUCUCCAUGUCCCAGCCUAUUUGCACUAUCUGAGCACGUGUGGUGGACAACUUCUUGAUGAAAAGAGAUCACGACUGACAUACACGGGGAAAAUUGCUCGUGCGCCAAAGAUCUUACGAUUCCUUGAAUGGUA